UACGAAGGGGGCAAGCGUUGUCCGGAAUCAUUGGGCGUAAAGAGCGCGUAGGCGGCCCUGUAAGUCCGCUGUGAAAGUCAAGGGCUCAACCCUUGGAUGCCGGUGGAUACUGCAGGGCUAGAGUCCGGAAGAGGCGAGUGGAAUUCCUGGUGUAGCGGUGGAAUGCGCAGAUAUCAGGAGGAACACCGAUAGCGAAGGCAGCUCGCUGGGACGGUACUGACGCUGAGGUGCGAAAGCGUGGGGAGCGAACAGG
rnacentral:rRNA from 1 species